rnacentral:rRNA from 1 species
CCUACGGGAGGCUGCAGUAGGGAAUUUUCGGCAAUGGGCGAAAGCCUGACCGAGCAACGCCGCGUGAACGAAGAAGGUCUUCGGAUUGUAAAGUUCUGUUAUAGAGGAAGAACGGUGUACGUAGGAAAUGGCGUACAAAUGACGGUACUCUGUGAGGAAGCCACGGCUAACUACGUGCCAGCAGCCGCGGUAAUACGGAGGGUGCAAGCGUUGUCCGGAAUCAUUGGGCGUAAAGAGUUCGUAGGCGGCAUGUAAAGUCAGGUGGUAAAGGCGCAGGCUCAACCUGUGUAUGGCACUUGAUACUUGCAAGCUGGAAUGCGGUAGAGGUAAAGGGAAGUCCUGGUGUAGCGGUGAAAUGCUUAGAUAUCAGGAGGAACAUCGGUGGCGUAAGCGCUUUACUGGGCCGUAAUUGACGCUGAGGAACGAAAGCCAGGGUAGCAAAUGGGAUUAGAUACCCCUGUAGUC